ensembl:lncRNA
GAAAACAGAGAGGAAGAAGAAGAGAAUGAGGAGGGGAAAAGAGAGAGGAAGAAGAGAAUGAGGAGGGGAAAAGAGAGAAGAAGAAGAGAGUGCGGAGGGGGAAAGAGAGAGGAAGAAGAAGAGAAUGAGGAGGGGAAAAGAGAGAGGAAGAAGAAGAGAAUGAGGAGGGGAAAAGAGAGAGGAAGAAGAAGAGAAUGAGGAGGGGAAAAGAGAGAGGAAGAAGACGAGAAUGAGGAGGGUAAAAGAGAGAGGAAGAAGAAGAGAAUGAGGAGGGGAAAAGAGAGAGGAAGAAGAAGAGAAUGAGGAGGGGAAAAGAGAGAGGGGAAGAAGAGAAUGAGGAGGGGAAAAGAGAGAGGAGGAAGAAGAGAAUGAGGAGGGGAAAAGAGAGAGGAAGAAGAAGAGAAUGAGGAGGGAAAAGAGAGAGGAAGAAGAAGAGAAUGAGGAGGGGAAAGAGAGAGGAGGAAGAAGAGAAUGAGGAGGGGAAAAGAGAGAGGAAGAAGAAGAGAGUGCGGAUGGGGAAAGAGAGAGGAAGAAGAGAGUGAGGAGGGGAAAAGAGAGAGGAAGAAGAUGAGAAUGAGGAGGGGAAAAGAGGGAGGAAGAAGAAGAGAAUGAGGAGGGGAAAAGAGAGAAGAGGAAGAGAAUGAGGAGGGGGUAAAGAGAGAGGAAGAAGAAGAGAAUGAGGAGGGGAAAAGAGAGAGGGGGAAGAAGAGAAUGAGGAGGGGAAAAGAGAGAGGACGAAGAAGAGAAUGAGGGGGGAAAAGAGAGGAAGAAGAAGAGAAUGAGGAGGGGAAAAGAGAGAGGGGGAAGAAGAGAAUGAGGAGGGGAAAAGAGAGAGGACGAAGAAGAGAAUGAGGGGGGAAAAGAGAGGAAGAAGAAGAGAAUGAGGAGGGGAAAAGAGAGAGGAAGUAGACGAGAAUGAGGAG